rnacentral:rRNA from 1 species
UACGGAGGGUGCGAGCGUUGUCCGGAAUCACUGGGCGUAAAGGGCGCGUAGGCGGCCUGAUAAGUAGGGGGUGAAAUCCUGCGGCUUAACCGCAGGGCUGCCUUCUAAACUGUCAGGCUCGAGCACAGUAGAGGCAGGUGGAAUUCCCGGUGUAGCGGUGGAAUGCGUAGAGAUCGGGAGGAACACCAGUGGCGAAGGCGGCUGCCUGGGCCUGGCCUGACGCUGAGGCGCGAAAGCGUGGGGAGCGAUCCGG